ensembl:snoRNA
CUGGCAGUGGUAAGAAGCGCUGGUUUAUGUACCUCAGCUUUUAAUGGGAGCUGAGUGUAGCUACUAGUUCUUAGCUCAGUGGGCAUGUGGUCUGCUGACUGGGUGGGGUCCCAACAUGAUAUAGAUGCCAGACUGUGCCUC